CUGGAGGUGUGAGGAUCAAAGCGCCUCCUCCUCCUCCUCCUCUUCCUCCUCCUCCUCCUCCCUCCUCCUCCACCUCCUCCUCCCUUCCAAAACCGUGAAAAUGGGAGGAAAUUAACCCCACAGAGACGGAAAGUGGCGAAUUGUGAAGGAUUAUUGACAUUUUUAAAGGAUUUGACACCUUUUAGGGAAAACUUAAAGAAAACGAGGAUUUUUCGAGUUUUUUUUACCACGAGUGAUGGUGAAGUGGUCGUUUGGUCGUCCCCACACCUACCACCACUCCAGUUGUCGUUGUUAGUGGUUGUGGUUGCGGUUACACUGUGUUUGUUGUUGAUGGUGGUGGUGGUGGUGGUGGCGGUGGUGGCGGUGGUGGUGGUGGUGCUCCAGUCAUUACUUAUAUCAAACUACUACUACUACUACUACUACUACAACUACUACUACUGCAACUGCUACUACUACUACUACUACUACUACUACUACGUGCAGCGCUGGAGACGCAAAGGAGCAGCACUAACAGCAGCAGCAGAAGUAGCAGCAGAAGUAGCAGCAGCAGAAGUACCAGUACCAGUCAAAGCAGGUGCAGUACCAUUAACAGCACCAGCAUGGACCAGCAACAGUUUUGCCUGCGCUGGAACAACCAUGGAUCGACCCUCGUGGCGGUAUUUGACAACCUGUUGGCGUCAGAGAGCUUGGUGGAUGUGACUCUCUUUGCUGAGGGUCACAGGCUCAAGGCUCAUAAAGUGGUGCUCUCCGCCUGUUCUCCUUACUUCCAGCAGGUGUUUGCGGAAACACAGGACAGACACCCUAUCGUGGUGCUGAAGGACGUGGGCCAUGUGGUGCUGAGGGCGCUGCUCGAAUACAUGUACCGCGGGGAGGUCAACGUGGCGCAGGACCAGCUGGAAACGCUUAUACGGACCGCUGAAUCGUUGAAGAUCAAGGGCCUCGCUGACGGAACUCGCGGCACCCCUGGCUUGGCACCUCGAGGCGACACUGAUCCUCCUUCAUCGCCUACCUCAGUGCCAGUCACCCAGGUGUCAUCCCAGGGGGCACCACAGGGGGAGGCGUGCCCCGGGGGGAUUAAGGAGCAGCGCACACCCCUUGGGGAAAGCCGUAUUGCCCCCAGGGGUGAGAGGAAUGACAAUUAUCAGCUCCCACAAUCCUCAGCGUCCUCCAUUCCGUCAGUCCUCUCCACUGUCCUGACAAUGCCCCCAGCCCUCUCUCUUGCCGCUGCUGCUGCAAACGCCCCCCUCCCCACCAAAAUCAAGCUGGAGCGCCCCCCACCCACAGCCCCACAGGACGCUCCCCCAGGCUCACCACUCGCUAAGAGAAGACGCAAGUCACCAGUCCCAUCCUACCUUAAGGUGCGACACUGCUCAGGGGGCCGAGAGAGCGCAGUGGACCGGGACAGCGGGGCGGACAGUGACGGCAGAUCCUCCUCCUCCCCUGGUGACACCCUGACGCAUCUCCCCCGUAUCCCUGCCACCAUUACCCCUGUGGCACCACUUCAUUACCCCUUAGAGAGACCAGAGACAGCCCCCAGUGGUACCCCGGGGAGCAGCAGUCCCUCCCCGGAUAGCGUCGGUACUCGAAGUGAUGUCCAGCCAAGUUCCCCAGUGCCCCGGCCUGUGUCAUCCCUGGGGCACUCCUCUCCACCCCUGUUUAAGGCCCGGGGGAGGCUGGAUGAGAACAGCAGUGACGCGAACCACCACAGUGACGAUGAUGGGGAGACUCUCAGGCAAGUGAAGGACCACGGGGACACAGCCGGGCCAUCCACAUCCAGGCUGUCACAUGAUGAUGGACCACACACACCAAGUUACCUCGGCUGGCCUUACCCCCAGGACCCCCCCUCCAGCAGUGAGGACCCCCCCUCCUUUCCCUCCUUAGAAAACACCAACCAAGGAAUAUGGAAAAAAAACUUUCUUGCACCAUACUUUCCCCCGCGGCCACACCCCAGUUUAGGACCUCCGUUUCCUGGGCUGUAUGGACCUCCCCCUUCGUCCCCGUGGGGUGGCCGAUCACCGCCUGGGCCUGGGGUGCUGGGAGGCGGCCCUGGAGUCCUCUGUGCCCAUGAGUGUUCGCGGUGCUCCAGGUUAUACAAGACUAGGAAGGGUUUGAAACACCACGUGAAGAAUGAGUGCGGGGUGGAGCCAAGGUUCCAGUGCUCCCAUUGUGACUGGAGGUUCAAACAGAAGGCGCAUCUCCUCAGGCACGUGGCACGGAAGCACACUGCCACCUGAGCCACCCCUGCCAACCCCUGCCAACCCCUGUUAACCCCUUGUGAACCCCUGUCAAGCCUUGUGAACCCCUGCCAAGCUUUAUCAAUCCUUCUCAAGCUCUGUCAACCCCUGUCAAGCCUUGUGAACCCCUGUCAAGCUUUGUCAACCCCUGUCAAGCCUUGUGAACCCCUGUCAACCCCUAUCAACACUUCUCAAGCUCUGUCAACCCUUCUCAAGCUCUGUCAAGCUCUGUCAAGCCUUGUGAACCCUUGUGAACCCCUGUAAAC
rnacentral:misc_RNA from 1 species